rnacentral:rRNA from 1 species
CAUAUCAAUAAGCGGAGGAAAAGAAACCAACAGGGAUUGCCCUAGUAACGGCGAGUGAAGCGGCAACAGCUCAAAUUUGAAAUCUGGCUCUUUCAGGGUCCGAGUUGUAAUUUGCAGAGGGCGCUUUGGCGUUGGCAGCGGUCCAAGUUCUUUGGAACAGGACGUCACAGAGGGUGAGAAUCCCGUACGUGGUCGCUAUCCUUCGCCGUGUAAAGCCCCUUCGACGAGUCGAGUUGUUUGGGAAUGCAGCUCUAAAUGGGAGGUAAAUUUCUUCUAAAGCUAAAUACUGGCCAGAGACCGAUAGCGCACAAGUAGAGUGAUCGAAAGAUGAAAAGCACUUUGGAAAGAGAGUCAAAUAGCACGUGAAAUUGUUGAAAGGGAAGCGCUUGCAGCCAGACUUGCCUGUAGUUGCUUAUCCGGACUCUUGUCCGGUGCACUCUUCUAUGGGCAGGCCAGCAUCAGUUUGGGCGGUUAGAUAAAGGUCUCUGUCACGUACCUCUCUUCGGAGUGGCCUUAUAGGGGAGCCGCCAUGUAACCAGCCCAGAUUGAGGUCCGCGCAUCUGCUAGGAUGCUGGCGUAAUGGCUGUAAGCGGCCCGUCUUGAAACACGGACCAAGGAGUCUAACAUCUAUGCGAGUGUUUGGGUGUCAAGCCCAGACGCGUAAUGAAAGUGAACGGAGGUAGGAACCCUUUGGGCGCACUAUCGACCGAUCCUGAUGUCUUCGGAAGGAUUUGAGUAAGAGCAUGGCUGUUGGGACCCGAAAGAUGGUGAACUAUGCUUGAAUAGGGUGAAGCCAGAGGAAACUCUGGUGGAGGCUCGCAGCGGUUCUGACGUGCAAAUCGAUCGUCAAAUUUGGGCAUAGGGGCGAAAGACUAAUCGAAC